rnacentral:rRNA from 1 species
CCUACGGGUGGCAGCAGUGGGGAAUAUUGCACAAUGGGGGAAACCCUGAUCCAGCGACGCCGCGUGAGUGAAGAAGUAUUUCGGUAUGUAAAGCUCUAUCAGCAGGGAAGAAAAUGACGGUACCUGCUUAAGACGCCCCGGCUAACUACGUGCCAGCCGCCGCGGUCAUACGUAGGGGGCAAGCGUUAUCCGGAUUUACUGGGUGUAACGGGAGCGUAGACGGCAGCACAAGUCUGGAGUGAAAUGCCGGGGCUUAACCCCGGAACUGCUUUUGAAACUGUGGAGCUAGAGUGCAGGAGAGGUAAGUGGAAUUCCUAGUGUAGCGGUGAAAUGCGUAGAUAUUAGGAGGAACACCAGUGGCGAAGGCGGCUUACUGGACUGUAACUGACGUUGAGGCUCGAAAGCGUGGGGAGCAAACAGGAUUAGAUACCCCGGUAGUC